rnacentral:lncRNA from 7 species
GGAAGGUCCUGCAGGGUUAACUACUGGUACCACACCCACGCACGGCUUCCAAGGUGCAGGCUCCCCUUGGGAACUAACUGCCUUCACUUUCCAGCAGUGUCUGGCUCAGUGGACAUGGAAAAGCCAAGUUCUAGUCCUCUGAGGUAACAGGCAACCUUUCAACAGAGAUGGAACCCCUCACUCUCCAUCCUCGGUGCCAUCCGGACACACCGGCAGAGGAGGUUUUUGGCCGCUUGACCCAAGGUAGAGUUAUUUGGGGAGAAGCUCAACUGAGAAAGUGCCUCCAUCAGAGUGGCCUUGGGCAGUUUCUGCCUCCAGGUUCCUGCUUUGAGUUCCUGCCCGACUUCCCCUGAGGAUGGACCUGCGAUCCAAAUAAAUAAAUAAAUUAUCCACCCCAA